UCCGGUUUGUCACCGGCAGUCACCUUAGAGUGCCCAGCUUAACCUGCUGGCAACUAAGAUCAAGGGUUGCGCUCGUUGCGGGACUUAACCCAACAUCUCACGACACGAGCUGACGACAACCAUGCACCACCUGUCUCCAACGCUCCGAAGAGGGGCACUAUCUCUAAUGCUUACGUCGGGAUGUCAAGAGCUGGUAAGGUUCUUCGCGUUGCUUCGAAUUAAACCACAUACUCCACUGCUUGUGCGGGUCCCCGUCAAUUCCUUUGAGUUUCAGCCUUGCGGCCGUACUCCCCAGGCGGGGCACUUAAUGCGUUAGCGCCGGCCCUCACGGGGUCGCUCCCCCAAGGACCUAGUGCCCAUCGUUUACGGCGUGGACUAC
rnacentral:misc_RNA from 1 species